UACCUGCAGCUCGAGUGGUAACCGCUUUUAUUGGGCCUAAAGCGUCCGUAGCCGGUUUGGUAAAUAUCUGGGUAAAUCGUGAGGCUUAACUUCACGAAUUUCGGAUAGACUGCCAGACUUGGGAUCGGGGGAGGUCAGAGGUACUCCAGGGGUAGCGGUGAAAUGUUGUAAUCCUUGGAGGACCACCGGUAGCGAAGGCGUCUGACUAGAACGAGUCCGACGGUGAGGGACGAAGCCCUGGGGCGCAAACCGGAUUAGAUACCCGGGUAGUCCAGGGUGUAGACAAUGUGGGCUUUGUAUUGGAGGUCCUACGUGGACGUCCAGUGCAGAAGAGAAGUUGUUAAGCCCACCGCCUGGGAAGUACGGUCGCAAGGCUGAAACUUAAAGGAAUUGGCGGGGGAGCACAGCAACGGGAGGAGCGUGCGGUUU
rnacentral:rRNA from 1 species